rnacentral:rRNA from 1 species
AACGAACGCUGGCGGCAUGCCUAACACAUGCAAGUCGUACGAGACCUUCGGGUCUAGUGGCGCACGGGUGCGUAACGCGUGGGAAUCUGCCCUUGGGUUCGGAAUAACAGUUGGAAACGACUGCUAAUACCGGAUGAUGACGUAAGUCCAAAGAUUUAUCGCCCAAGGAUGAGCCCGCGUAGGAUUAGCUAGUUGGUGAGGUAAAGGCUCACCAAGGCGACGAUCCUUAGCUGGUCUGAGAGGAUGAUCAGCCACACUGGGACUGAGACACGGCCCAGACUCCUACGGGAGGCAGCAGUGGGGAAUAUUGGACAAUGGGCGAAAGCCUGAUCCAGCAAUGCCGCGUGAGUGAUGAAGGCCUUAGGGUUGUAAAGCUCUUUUACCCGGGAUGAUAAUGACAGUACCGGGAGAAUAAGCUCCGGCUAACUCCGUG